rnacentral:rRNA from 1 species
CCUACGGGACGCAGCAGUGGGGGAUAUUGCACAAUGGGGGAAACCCUGAUGCAGCGACGCCGCGUGGGUGAAGAGGCGCCUCGGCGCGUAAAGCCCUGUCAGCAGGGAAGAAAAUGACGGUACCUGAAGAAGAAGCCCCGGCUAACUACGUGCCAGCAGCCGCGGUAAUACGUAGGGGGCAAGCGUUAUCCGGACUUACUGGGUGUAAAGGGGGCGCAGACGGCGAUGCAAGCCAGGAGUGAAAGCCCGGGGCCCAACCCCGGGACUGCUCUUGGAACUGCGUGGCUAGAGUGCAGGAGGGGCAG